rnacentral:rRNA from 1 species
GUGAACGCUGGCGGUAGGCCUAACACAUGCAAGUCGCACGGCAGCACAGUAAGAGCUUGCUCUUACGGGUGGCGAGUGGCGGACGGGUGAGGAAUACAUCGGAAUCUACUUUUUCGUGGGGGAUAACGUAGGGAAACUUACGCUAAUACCGCAUACGACCUACGGGUGAAAGCAGGGGAUCUUCGGACCUUGCGCGAUUGAAUGAGCCGAUGUCGGAUUAGCUAGUUGGCGGGGUAAAGGCCCACCAAGGCGACGAUCCGUAGCUGGUCUGAGAGGAUGAUCAGCCACGCUGGAACUGAGACACGGUCCAGACUCCUACGGGAGGCAGCAGUGGGGAAUAUUGGACAAUGGGCGCAAGCCUGAUCCAGCCAUACCGCGUGGGUGAAGAAGGCCUUCGGGUUGUAAAGCCCUUUUGUUGGGAAAGAAAAGCAGCAGGUUAAUACCCCGCGGUUCUGACGGUACCCAAAGAAUAAGCACCGGCUAACUUCGUG